GUGGGCGCUGCCCCGGCGAGGGCCCGACUUGUGGUGCGGGCAGGAGCGGCCCGAGCGCGGCCCCGCUCUGCUCGUGUCCGCCUCCCGCCGGGCGCGGCAGGGCCCGAUGGCGGCCGGGCUGGGGCCGCGGCUGCUGGCCUUGGCCUUGGCCUUGGCCUUGGGGCCGGCCGGUGUGAGUGCUCAAUGGAAGCUGUGGGUGUCUGGUGGAGGUGUUCGAGUACCAGGGGAAUCUGUGCACCUCUCCUGCCAGGGAUCCGGAUUCAACUUUGGAGAUUAUGAUGUCUUGUGGUACCGUCAGGCACGCGGUAGCAGUCUCGAGUGGGUGUCCUACAUCAACUAUUAUGGUAGCACAAUAAAAUAUGGCAAAGCGGUGGAGGGCCGAGCCACAGCUUCCCGGUACAAUUCCCAGUCCAAGGCUCAUCUGUCCCUGCGUGCCCUGGUACCCCAGGACUCUGCCCACUACUUCUGUGCAGUUCGCACAGGGACAGGAAAUCCAGCUGAGCUUUAACACAAACCUGCUCCCAGGGCCCCUUGCCUUCUCUAAGUGUGGCACUGUGACAAAGAACAGGGAGGAGCAGCAGAACCACACUGAGCUCCUGAAGAGGGCAGAGAAUUGCCUUCAGCUCAGCCCUUUCCCACAUUGCCUGCAGGGGCCGAUGGGAUCAACAGCAGUGUCAGGGGCAAAUGGCCAGGUCAGCUGGAGUGCAGCAAGAAGAGAUGCACAGGCUUCCUCAUGAAAGGAAGUGCCGAGUGCUGCUCUUGGGUCCUAACAACGCCAUUCCGUGGGACUGACAGAUGUAACAAUCCCGUUCAGGCUUGGGGAAGAGUGGGUGGAAGGUGUGCUGGCAGACAAGGUCCAGAGGGUUUUGUUUGACAGCCAGCUGAACAUGAGCCAGCAGUGUGCCCCUGUGGCCAAGAAG